rnacentral:misc_RNA from 1 species
AAUGAAUCCUAUCAAUUACAAUGCAAAGGGCUAUUUAUAUCAUUCACUAACUACUUAGUCAUAACAGAAUGCUGGAUUGUAGCCACCAUCAUUUGAGUUGAAAUAUUGCAACUUUUUCAACCAAACGUUGUUAGGUGGCUGUAGUGCUAAACAGCGGCCACUAUUCUCCAGUUGCCCAACUAAACAAGCACUGCAUAAUAUGCUUUCUGAAUUGAGCUUUCCACCUGUCUUAAAUGUUUUGCAUUAUUGGUUUAGAAUCUUUUAGGUGUUACUAUGGUCUCAUGCUUUCAAUUUUGCCAGGUACAUAGAAGCCAGUAAAGCUC